GAUACAGGUGGCAGCUCUCGUCCCCUGAGAGCGGGCGAAGGCCAGGGUCCCACACUCGCAGCGCUGCGACGGCGCUCGGGACCUCCCUCGUCCACUGCUUGAGUUCCAGAGGUGGGUGCUUCCCUGUCCUGAACUUCAGAGUGCGGAGUCAUAAAUGGGUUCCGGCUGGCUUACUGCAGUAGCCUCGCUCCUCCCCAGCCCCGGUAACUCCGAGCUACCCGUCCAGGCCCUCGGGCGUCGCGGGGGCAGGGACUGGGCGCGGAACGAGGCAGGGAGGGACCUGGAAAAACCACCCAGAUUGCAUUGCAGUGGGCGAGGCCGCCUGGAGGAGCCGGUUCCCCCUAACCACCUCCCCGUGGGGCUCUCGGUGCGCGGUUCCCAGGUGCUCAGCUCUGCUGGGCCCAGGAGGUGCCGCCUCACAGGGACGCGGAACCCCGUGCGUGGCCCCCGCCGGGUGGAACAGAUAGCGCGGGGCGGUCCGGAGGCUCGUCGCCAAGCAGGUGACUCUUGCUGAAAAAGUGGUUGGAACACUUGAGGAAACCCGGCCCCGCCUGUUCUUUCUAGGUCUUUGGAGUUUGGAUUAAUCAUUUGUGUAGCCCGUUUGGAUAAACCGAAGACUUUAUUAAAUCAGCGCGUUUAACAGGAAUUCCGCAGUAGUAUCCACAUUAGAAUCUUGAGUCUUGGAGUUGAACAUAUUCACACAGACUUGCCUUCUUCCUGUUUAGUUUAUGCCUUGUGUUCCGUUAUUGGAACGCUAAGCUUGUGGGAGUUGUUUACAUCCUACUGCUCAAGGUCAUCGCUAAGGUGUGAUUUUUCACAAAAAGAAUUUGCAACCUCCGGCAUGAAUGACUUAAGGGAAGUCUAAUCCCGGUUUCUGAUUUUUUUUUUUUUUUUAAUUUAAAAGUUAAUCUUUCUGGGCCGGGCGCGGUGGCUCACGCCUGUAAUCCCAGCACUUUGGGAGGCCGAGGCGGAUCACGAGGUCAGGAGUUCGAGACCAGCCUGACCAACAUGGUGAAACCCCGUCUCUACUAAAAACACAAAAAUUAGCCGGGCGGGGUGGCGCGCACCUGUAAUCCCAGCUGCUCGGGAGGCUGAGGCAGGAGAAUCGCUUGAACCUGGGAGGCGGGGGGUUGCAGUGAGCCGAGAUCUGGCCAUUGCACUCCAGCGUGGGCAACAGAGUGAGACUCCAUCUCAAAAAAAAAGGUUAAUCUUUCCAACUAGAUUUUCAAGGAUGAGGAUUUUGUUGUUGUUGUUGUUGUUGUUCUCAAAUGUAUUCCCAGGGCUUGGAACAGAGCCUGACAUAUACUAGGCACUCAACAAAUAUUUGUUGAAUGAUUGUAAUGAGUAACACCCAUUUUUGCAGAUCUUUGUCUUCUGAGCCUAGGGCAUAGGUCAUCACUGCAGGGGUGAGAUUGUCAAAAUGGGAGUCUACAGGUAAUUUAAGACUUAAAUGUUUAAAGAGUAUGUGCUCAUUCUUCAACAAACUUACUUUUGUUAAAUUAAAAUGGUAAAAUGUGGUGGAGGGGUUGGAAUAUAUGUAAUUCAAGACAGUUCUGAAUACAAAAAUGUUUUACUGUCUAUCACCACCAUCUAUAAAUCUAAUUCACUAAGGAUAAUCUGUGUAAGGUGGCUGGAAAGAACCUUGAGGAGAGAGGCUUAUUUAAGUAUUGGCUCAGGACCACACCUAAAAUUCUCAAAACGUUGAGAUUCUGUUGUUUUGUUUUUAAGCGCCAGAGACCCAAGUUGAGGAACAGCCUAUAAAAUAACUGGCCUGUACUCUUACAUACAUGAAAGCCAUCAAAGACAAAGACUGAAGAAGAACUUUUGCAGAUUAAAGGACUUUAAGAGACAUGAUCCUGAACCAGAAAAAGUAAAAAAUAAAAAAAUAAAAAGAUCUGUAGAUUAGAUAAUAGUUUUAUAUCCAUGUUAAUUUCCCAUUUGUUGUAAUAUUACUGUGGUUGGGCAAGAGAGUGUCUUUGUUGGUGGAAGUAUCUACUGAAGUAUUUAGGGGUAAAGAGGAAUCAUGUCUGUAACUUAUGCUCAAAAGGUUCAGACAAAAUAUAUGUAAAGGGAAUGAUAAAGCAAACGCAAUAAAAUGUUAACAUUGGGGAAUCUGUAUAAGGGAAUUAUUAACUUUUCUGUAAGUCUAAAAUUAUUUCAAAUUAAAAAUAAUUUUUUUAAGCCUC
rnacentral:lncRNA from 1 species